rnacentral:rRNA from 1 species
CCUACGGGAGGCUGCAGUGGGGAAUAUUGCACAAUGGGGGAAACCCUGAUGCAGCAACGCCGCGUGAGUGAUGACGGUCUUCGGAUUGUAAAGCUCUGUCUUUGGGGACGAUAAUGACGGUACCCAAGGAGGAAGCCACGGCUAACUACGUGCCAGCAGCCGCGGUAAUACGUAGGUGGCGAGCGUUGUCCGGAUUUACUGGGCGUAAAGGGAGCGUAGGCGGAUUUUUAAGUGAGAUGUGAAAUACCCGGGCUCAACUUGGGUGCUGCAUUUCAAACUGGAAGUCUAGAGUGCAGGAGAGGAGAGUGGAAUUCCUAGUGUAGCGGUGAAAUGCGUAGAGAUUAGGAGGAAUACCAGUUGCGAAGGCGGCUCUCUGGACUGUAACUGACACUGAGGCACGAAAGCGUGGGGAGCAAACAGGAUUAGAUACCCUUGUAG